ensembl:lncRNA
GAGUUACCCUAAGUAGAUUUAAAUAAUUAAAUUCAAAAAUUCUCAAACCACUUGCUGUUUCAAAUUUAUUUCUUUAAUAACAACUCAGACUCAGCAACAGACUGGAUUAAGGUUUCAUUUAUUCGAAAUUUAAGGUAUAUCCAGCUCUGAGUGUUGUUUUUAAGUAUUUAAGGGGAAAUUUGUGCACGGUGAAAAUGAAGAGACUGCAGCAUUAUAAAUUCAUUUCCUCUAUUAGAAUCAGGGCCGCGCCUGCCCACUGCAGCUGUUCGGAAGGCAGGGCGGCCAGGCUGGAGGGCGCACCCCGGCAGCAGACGACCCUUUGUUUCCCCAGAGAGGAGACUUGGCCGGCCCCACACCCUUCACGGGAACUAUUUCCUCAGUGGCGCCAGGCAGUUGGGCAGGAUCAUCUGGUGCGGUUUUCAUGUGGCAAAGCAAAAAAUCCUCCGGGAUUCCAGGGUGACUUCUAAAGAUCCACUUUCAUCCGUGACCUCAAACCCUGCCUUGCACCAGGCCCCAAAGAUGAGAGGUCAUUGCGGCCUGGGCAGGAUUCACUGACCUCUGAAACCACCCUCCCUGAUCCAUCCAGCGAAAGCCGAGAGCGACUCAGAAAACAGGUGUUACAUGGCAGACUCGUUGAUCUCAAGACUCUCAAGGUUUCCCCAGCCCCACACUCUUCUCCGUGGUUAAUCCCUCAGUGAGGGGAAUUGAAUUUUCUGUGGCUGCAUCUAGGGUUAAUGAGAAGGCAACCUUGAUUUGAAGAAAAAAGGCAGCAACAAACAAAAAUUAAAGCUUGGUUGAACAUUGGAGGUGGUUUCUCCUUUGUUUUUUGUUUUUCUUAAGUUCAAAAAAACAAAUCGUAAGGCAGAAAACCAAGGGCUAGACCUUUCUGCCUUGUUCUAAUAUUCAAAGGAAUUAUUUCCUUUUACAUAACAUCUUCAACAAGGCCACACCUCUUUUGUUAUCAGAGUGUUGUCAACGGCAAGCCUGCUUGACUCUCAUAAAGGCAAUAUAGUGCCCGACAGUGGGGUCCCAACGUGUGUGCGGGCCUAGAUCUACUUUACAAAUGGGCUGCCAGGCCAGCCUCCAAAGAGGACGCGGCGGGCUUCAGGGACACCUAAGUUGCGUCUCUCCCCACCUUCUCCGCAGGCCUUGAGUUUCUUGGGGCCGGCAGGGUAUCUCCUCCGGAGAAAGUUCAGCCGGCGGCAGGGACACUCUGCAAGCUUAUCCUGACCCCCAGUGGCCGGCCCUGUCAUCGGACCUACACCGGCUCCCACUCUCGCCGCCCCUUGGUUCCCUACCUAGCUAGAUCCCCAGGACCCAGGCACCAGGAGUUUUAAUUGACAAUUAAAACAAACUUCGGUUCUCACCAGAAUCGACUGAGUGAAAUUUCGCAACUGCAAGUUUCACAAUUCAAUUCCCUUGAAGCAAAACCAACAGUUUCCCUGAGGUUUCACUCCACACCUCUCCAUUUGUUGUUUAACUUCCCCUUCAAGUUUCCCUUCCCACACAGCAUUUUAUUUGAGAGUCAGGCCUGGAAACGGUUUAAUUAUGUUCCUGGGGGUCCCCGCCUCGUGCCUGCCCCGGCGCUGAGUCAGCACCUCCGCGCAGCCAGGAUGGGAAGGGAGCGCGCUCCCGGCCCAGGCCCGGAGGUGGGUAUUUAUGGCUUCGGCUGUCCCGCCUGCCGGUCGAGCUGUUCAUUUCGUCAGCCACCGAAAUCAAACAACCUGAAAUAAAGCUUCCGUGCCCGUGAAUAGAAUGGAGUCAGCAAACACUUCUGACCCUGGUGGUAGCGUUACCGGAUUUAGCCAGCAAAAAUACUGGGCGCCGGGGGAACAGAUUUAUACCAAAAUCGUUGUUGUUUAUCUGAAGUUCAAAUUUAACUCGAGGUUGUCGGGGUUUUUUAUCUCUUAACCCCACCACAUGAAGAAAAGAGAGGCUCUGUUUUAUGGUUUUACAGAUCAGCUUUGAUCAGGCCCUUGGAUCAGGCACCCAGUCUUGGUGCCCCCUUAGAAUUAGGUGAGGGAUUUUUUUUUAAUCAGAAGGAAAAUAGAGCAUGUUUUUUUUUUUUCUGGUGGCCACCCGGGAGGGUAGGCAUUGGCCCAUUUCUCAGAUUUCAGUGCUUGACAGGAUAGAAGUGACUACAUUCUAAAUUGCUAGCUUGUACAUGCUGAUAUGUAAAAGAAGGUUUUUUAAAAAAAGUUUUGCAUUACUGUUAUCUUCCUUAAAAAAAAAAAAUGCUAUGGCCUUGGGAAUACUGUAUGUAUCUGUUACCGACAGCUCUGAAAACCACUUCUGCAAAGCUUGUCAGUUAAACCAAAUGUUAAAUGGAAAAAAUUUGGCGGGAUUUAAAAUUAGCCCCACACACAUUACUUACAGAUGUUUCCAUGAAAAACACUUGAAACUGAACCACACCAAGUAAUAAACCCCACAAU